rnacentral:rRNA from 1 species
UACGUAGGGUGCGAGCGUUGUCCGGAAUUACUGGGCGUAAAGGGCUCGUAGGUGGCCAACUAAGUCAGACGUGAAAUCCCUCAGCUUAACUGGGGAACUGCGUCUGAUACUGGAUGGCUUGAGUUUGGGAGAGGGAUGCGGAAUUCCAGGUGUAGCGGUGAAAUGCGUAGAUAUCUGGAGGAACAUCGGUGGCGAAGGCGGCAUCCUGGACCAACACUGACACUGAGGAGCGAAAGCCAGGGGAGCAAACGGG